ACAUAUUGUUAUCUACUGUGUUGUUUUUUCCUCAAGUUUAUUGAUUGCCAGAGUUGAUUCGACUGAUGUGACUGACUUGGUGGGUGUCCUGUUCCUCCCUCUCCAUUCCAUGUGUGUGUGUGUCUCCCAAAGCUGAGCGCUCCAUCGAAGAGGACAACUCCCCCCCAGAUAGAGGAGGACUGGUCUUCAGUCAAGUAGCUGCACUCCACUGCCAGAACCUCCAAACAAGCUCUCAAGUUUAGAUAUACAAAUAGGCACUAUCAAGUGUAAACAUGGUCAUAUAAUUUCCUUUCCCAGUCAGAAGUAAUUUUUUU
ensembl:misc_RNA 7SK 7SK RNA